AGGACGAACGCUGGCGGCGCGCUUAAAACAUGCAAGUCGAACGUGAAGCCCGGGCUUGCCCGGGUGGAAAGUGGCGAACGGGUGAGUAACACGUGAGGAACCUGCCCCGGAGACCGGGAUAACCCAGGGAAACUUGGGCUAAUACCGGAUGUCUUCAUUGGAUCGCAUGGUCCGAUGAAGAAAUGGAUUCCGCUCCGGGAUGGCCUCGCGGCCUAUCAGCUUGUUGGUGAGGUAACGGCUUACCAAGGCUUCGACGGGUAGC
rnacentral:rRNA from 1 species